rnacentral:misc_RNA from 1 species
AAGUCGUAACAAGGUUUCCGUAGGUGAACCUGCGGAAGGAUCAUUAACACGUAUCCACGUUUAACCACCCGUGCACCUUCAUUUUAUACCGUCGUGUCAUGAAGCUGGCGAUGUUCUACUUUUGCCUUGCGGUUUGUCGAGCUGGUGUUGUUCUAUCUUGGGAGGCCCUUGUGGGGUGGUUAGCGAAGCAACCUCUGUCCAUGAGAAUGUGUCUUCGGGGUAGCUUGUUGUUCUCAUUUGCCAGCUUGUCGAAUCUCGAUGUCAAAUUCCUGACUCGCAAGUUUUGUGUCCGCGUCCCAGUUGUUCUUACCCACCGCGUACCAAAAGUGACGCAAUUCAACCGUGCGCAGGCCAAAAGGCCAGCGUCGGAAACCCGCACAACUGUUAACAAUGGAUAUCUUGGCUCUC